rnacentral:rRNA from 1 species
CCGACACGGGGAGGUAGUGACAAGAAAUAGCGAUUCCGGGUCUUUAUAGGUCUGGUUAUUGCAAUGGACGUAUUGUAAAUGCCUACGUGAGUAUCCAUUGGAGGGCAAGUCUGGUGCCAGCAGCCGCGGUAAUUCCAGCUCCAAUAGCGUAUAUUAAAGUUGUUGCAGUUAAAAAGCUCGUAGUUGGAUUUCAGUCUUAAUUCGUCUGGCCCGCUCCCUUGAGGAGCCGAGUGCCGGUUGCGAAUUGGACUUCCUUCUAGCAUGAAACCUCUACCGUUAUGCGGCCGGGGGGGACAUCUGGAUCAUUUACUUUGAAGAAAUUAGAGUGUUCAAAGCAAGCUUACGCUGUGAAUAUAUUAGCAUGGAAUAAUAACAUAGGACUAGGGUUCUAUUUUGUUGGUUUCUAGAGCCAAAGUAAUGAUUGAUAGGGACAGUUGGGGGUGCUGCUAUUAUAUGGCCAGAGGUGAAAUUCACGGAUUCAUAUAAGAGCAACUUAUG